rnacentral:tRNA from 2 species
GCCGAAGUGGUGGAAUUAGGUAGACACGCUGUGUUGAGGGCGCAGUGGGGAGACCCGUGCCGGUUCAAGUCCGGCCUUCGGCACCA